rnacentral:misc_RNA from 1 species
GAUGAAGAACGCAGCGAAAUGCGAUACGUAAUGUGAAUUGCAGAAUUCAGUGAAUCAUCGAAUCUUUGAACGCAUAUUGCGCUCUCUGGUAUUCCGGAGAGCAUGCUUGUUUGAGUAUCAGUAAACACCUCAACUUCCAUAUCUUUUUUGAAAUGGGAGUUGGACUUGAGUGAUCCCAACGCUUUUCCUCACCGAAAAGUGGCGGGUUACUUGAAAUGCAGGUGCAGCUGGACUUUUCUCUGAGCUAUAAGCAUAUCUAUUUAGUCUGCCUAAAAAACAGAUUAUUACCUUUGCUGCAGCUAACAUAAAGGAGAUUAGUUCUUGUGCUGACUGAUGCAGGAUUCACAAAGACAGGCUUCGGCCGUCUUUGUAAACUCGAUCUCAAAUCAAGUAAGACUACCCGCUGAACUUAAGCAUAUCAAUAAGCGGAGGA